CCAAAUUGAGGAAGUAAAAGUCGUAACAAGGUCUCCGUCUGAUUGCACCUGCGAGAGGAGAUGUCAAUAUCAGGUUUUUCCUUGGGUUCCAUUAGAGGAAGUAAAAGUCGUAACAAGGUCUCCGUAGGUGAACCUGCGGAGGGAUCAUUACACAAAUAUGAAGGCGGGCUGGAACCUCUCGGGGUUACAGCCUUGCUGAAUUAUUCACCCUUGUCUUUUGCGUACUUCUUGUUUCCUUGGUGGGUUCGCCCACCACUAGGACAAACAUAAACCUUUUGUAAUUGCAAUCAGCGUCAGUAACAAAUUAAUAAUUACAACUUUCAACAACGGAUCUCUUGGUUCUGGCAUCGAUGAAGAACGCAGCGAAAUGCGAUAAGUAGUGUGAAUUGCAGAAUUCAGUGAAUCAUCGAAUCUUUGAACGCACAUUGCGCCCUUUGGUAUUCCAAAGGGCAUGCCUGUUCGAGCGUCAUUUGUACCCUCAAGCUUUGCUUGGUGUUGGGCGUCUUGUCUCUAGCUUUGCUGGAGACUCGCCUUAAAGUAAUUGGCAGCCGGCCUACUGGUUUCGGAGCGCAGCACAAGUCGCACUCUCUAUCAGCAAAGGUCUAGCAUCCAUUAAGCCUUUUUUUCAACUUUGACCUCGGAUCAGGUAUAGUUGGGUGAAUUU
rnacentral:rRNA from 1 species